UUUUAAGAUAGGUGAUGAUAAACCGUGCUCUAACAAUACAAACACGCUCAAUGAAGAAAGAAACUUUUGCAAUAUCAGUUGCAAAAGCGUGCUAUCCAGCUUCGGGAACGAUACAGGUAUUUAGCGGAAGCAUAUAAUAUCUGUACUUUGUUUGUAAAAUGCGUUUGUGUUUUUUUCAUGAAUGAAUAACAGUAGAGAAUCAUAUUUGAUGAAGAUCAUAUAAUUACUAUUUAAUUAAACUUAAUUCUAUCUUAGAAUUUCCAGAACUAGACUUCUGCAAUUGAUACUUAGCUAUGGACAAUUAUUCAAUUGUUCCACUCUACACAGAAGACCAAUUUAAUAAACAUUUUGGACAGAAGUUUCUCCUCGCGAUUCAACUAAAAUCCUAUUUACCCUAUGGUCUGUCUAUUGCAAUAUAAGAUAUUAAUUAUAGCUUUCUAAAGUUAUCUUGCAUACCUAUGUAGACAACAAAAAAUCAGACAGAGGAAAAACCCUGAUCCCUGUAAUCACCAAGAAGAAUGAGUGCGGCAUAAUAUAUAAGUUUGAUAACAGAUUCCUUUUCUUCAGUUUACUCCAGAACUCAGAAUUUUGUUGCAGCCACUAGCUCACCAUUGCUGUCUGGAUCUGGAUACAACUUUAUCACCUUAAAAUGGAACACAUCGGUGGAUGUGUCCGGAAGCAUUGCGUUUUACAUAUUGCAAGUUCACCUCAACUCUCAAUCGCCGGAGAAUUCUCUGGAGUUACGACCUUCAAUCCCAAAAUACGUUAUGGUA